GCUCAAGAUCUCUCCCCAGGAUGUGAGUCGCAUAAGUUUUGGAACUUUUCGUUUCUCUCAAUUUUGUUCCAUCAAUUCCUCUGUUAUUUGCGGCUUAAAAUGCUAGAAAUAAAAUAAUGUGUUCAGAAGAUUUGAUUUAGUUGCUUGUAGCUUCCAAAUAAUCAAAAUAUUAUUCUGUAAUGGAACGUUACUGUUUUGUUUGAGAUCAUUUGAGAGGAAGUUUUCAAUUAUGUGGGAUUGCAAUGUAUGCUCAGAUUAGGAUAUUUAAGGAUUUCAAGCUAAAUUGUGAAGAAGAAAUAAUACUAUUUUUUCCGAUUAGGUUGAGGAGAACAUUUGCAAAUU
rnacentral:misc_RNA from 1 species